UACGUAGGGUGCAAGCGUUAAUCGGAAUUACUGGGCGUAAAGCGUGCGCAGGCGGCUUUGCAAGACAGAUGUGAAAGCCCCGGGCUCAACCUGGGAAUUGCAUUUGAGACUGCGUAGCUAGGGUGCGGAAGAGGGAAGCGGAAUUUCCGGUGUAGCGGUGAAAUGCGUAGAUAUCGGAAGGAACACCAGUGGCGAAAGCGGCUUCCUGGUCCAGCACCGACGUUCAGGCACGAAAGCGUGGGGAGCGAACAGG
rnacentral:rRNA from 1 species